rnacentral:lncRNA from 1 species
UUCAUUUCAUUUCAUUUCUUACUACAACAACAAUACUUAGAGAGAGAGAGAGAGAGCUAAUUUUUGGGAGUUUUAAUCUUCUCCGAGAAACAAUCUCUUGCUCGACCAAUAAUCUUGCUCCUGUGUGCCCAUGUCGUCCAACAACAAUAUCACCGGCGGCAGAGAGGAGGCGGCGGAUGAUCUCUUCCAUCUCACUGCUACAACAAUACAUAAUCGAGACAGAGAACUAACUUUCCUUUCUGAGUGCUUUAAUCUCAGAAAAAACAUCUCUUCCUCGUCCAAUCUUGCUCCUGUGACCAUGUCGUCAAACAACAAUCUUACCGGCGGCGGCAGAGAGGAGGCGGCGGAUGAUCUCUUCCAC